rnacentral:lncRNA from 10 species
GCAGCCGCAGCCCCUGGCGCUAACGGUCGGUAACGGCCCGCGCGCGCCGCCCGCCGGGGGCUCGCGCCAGCCACGAGGGAGCGUCCGCGGCCCGCGCGCCCGCGCGGCGGAGGAGAGGUGUUAAGUGUGAUGCUUCCAUAAUACAUUUGGAUGCUGUCAGCUAAGUUCACUUCUGAACUAAGGGGUUCCUCCAAAUGUUGGCUGAAAUUCAUCCCAAGGCUGGUCUGCAAAGUCUGCAAUUCAUAAUGGAGCUACUGUACUGGCUAUUGGAAGGAGGAGAUUCUGAAGAUAAGGAGGUAAUAUUAUCUCUUUUAAAAGAAUACUUUCCUCUGUAAUCCUGAAUCUUUAUUACAUGUAAGAACUUUGUGCAGUAGACAGCAAUUUCUUUGAAUUUGGUAUAUGGAAACAAUUUUAUUUUCCUCUGCUAAGUUUUUGAGCCUGCCUCUUCUAGUGCCAUGGACUGCAUUGGUAGAGCUGAGAAAUAUCAUUUAGCCAUACUCAGCACCCUUAAAAUAGCUUCUUUCUGAGAAUUAGAUCUGUGAAGGUGUCCUGCACAGUUCUUGUAGAUGUCAUUUUAGUUUGUGGUUGACGUGCAUGCAU